CCCCUUGUGGUGUAGAUGGAUAUCACACUCGGCUGUAAUUGCACUGUUUCAAACCGAUAGGUCCGCGGUUCGAUUCCGCGCGAGGGGA